rnacentral:ncRNA from 1 species
GGCCAAGUUUUUAAGGGCGCACGGUGGAUGCCUUGGCACUAGGAACCGAUGAAGGACGAGGAAGGCCGCGAUAGUCCCCGGGGAGCCGCCAACCAGGCCUUGAUCCGGGGGUUUCCGAAGGGGGACACCCGGCCGGCGUCAUGGGCUUUCACCCAUACCUCAACGCAACGGGUAGGUGGAGGGAACGAGGGGCAGUAACACACCUCAGUACCCUCAGGAAGAGAAAACAACCCUGAUUCCGGGAGUCGUGGCCAGCCGAACCGAC